AUUUGAAAUCUGGCCCUCGGGUCCGAGUUGUAAUUUGUAGAGGAUGCUUUUGGUGCGGUGCCUUCCGAGUUCCCUGGAACGGGACGCCAUAGAGGGUGAGAGCCCCGUCUGGUUGGACACCAAGCCUCUGUAAAGCUCCUUCGACGAGUCGAGUAGUUUGGGAAUGCUGCUCUAAAUGGGAGGUAUAUGUCUUCUAAAGCUAAAUACCGGCCAGAGACCGAUAGCGCACAAGUAGAGUGAUCGAAAGAUGAAAAGCACUUUGAAAAGAGGGUUAAAUAGUACGUGAAAUUGUUGAAAGGGAAGCGCUUAUGACCAGACUUGAGCCCGGUUAAUCAUCCAGCCUUCUGGCUGGUGCACUUGGCCGGCUCAGGCCAGCAUCAGUUCGGCGCGGGGGAUAAAGGUUUCGGGAAUGUGGCUCCUCCGGGAGUGUUAUAGCCCGUUGCGUAAUACCCUGCGCUGGACUGAGGUUCGCGCAUCUGCAAGGAUGCUGGCGUAAUGGUCAUCAGCGACCCGUCUUGAAACACGGACCAAGGAGUCGUCUUCGUAUGCGAGUGUUCGGGUGUCAAACCCCUACGCGUAAUGAAAGUGAACGCAGGUGAGAGCUUCGGCGCAUCAUCGACCGAUCCUGAUGUUCUCGGAUGGAUUUGAGUAAGAGCAUACGGGGCCGGACCCGAAAGAAGGUGAACUAUGCCUGUAUAGGGUGAAGCCAGAGGAAACUCUGGUGGAGGCUCGCAGCGGUUCUGACGUGCAAAUCGAUCGUCAAAUAU
rnacentral:rRNA from 1 species